GACGAACGCUGGCGGCGUGCUUAACACAUGCGAGUCGAACGGUGAAGGGACCGGUUUUUGCUGGUUCUGGAUGAGUGGCGAACGGGUGAGUAACACGUGAGUAACCUGCCCCCUUCUUCUGGAUAACCGCAUGAAAGUGUGGCUAAUACGGGAUAUUCUGCGCCUGCUGCAUGGUGGGUGUGGGAAAGGUAUUGUUUCGGUGGGGGAUGGGCUCGCGGCCUAUCAGCUUGUUGGUGGGGUGAUGGCCUACCAAGGCGGUGACGGGUAGCCGGCCUGAGAGGGUGGACGGUCACACUGGGACUGAGACACGGCCCAGACUCCUACGGGAGGCAGCAGUGGGGAAUAGUGCACAAUGGGCGCAAGCCUGAUGCAGCGACGCCGCGUGAGGGAUGGAGGCCUUCGGGUUGUAAACCUCUUUCGCCAGUGAAGCAGGCCUGUCCCUUUUGUGGGUGGGUUGACGGUAGCUGGAUAAGAAGCGCCGGCUAACUACGUG
rnacentral:rRNA from 1 species